rfam:Salmo salar isolate Sally breed double haploid chromosome ssa13, whole genome shotgun sequence.
UGCAUUCACUACAGUAAGUCGCUCUGGAUAAGAGCGUCUGCUAAAUGACAAAAA